rnacentral:tRNA from 1 species
GGUAGGGUGGCUGAGGGUUAAGCGGGGGGCUGUAGACCCCUAGACAGAGGUUCAAGUCCUUUUCCUAUCA